AAAGUCGUAACAAGGUUUCCGUAGGUGAACCUGCGGAAGGAUCAUUACCGAGUUAGGGUCUUCUCAGGCCCGAUCUCCCACCCUGUGUCUACUUAACCACGUUGCUUCGGCGGGCCUGUCUGGACUCACGCCCGGACUGCCGGGGGGUCUCAUCGCCCCUGGCUCGUGCCCGUCAGUGGCCUCCUAUUAAACCCUGAUGAAUUGUGUCGUCUGAGUCUGAAUUUAAUUAAAAACAAAACUUUCAACAACGGAUCUCUUGGUUCUG
rnacentral:misc_RNA from 1 species